rnacentral:rRNA from 1 species
CAGUCGAGGGGAGCAUGGUCUUAGCUUGCUAAGGCUGAUGGCGACCGGCGCACGGGUGAGUAACACGUAUCCAACCUGCCGUCUACUCUUGGCCAGCCUUCUGAAAGGAAGAUUAAUCCAGGAUGGGAUCAUGAGUUCACAUGUCCGCAUGAUUAAAGGUAUUUUCCGGUAGACGAUGGGGAUGCGUUCCAUUAGAUAGUAGGCGGGGUAACGGCCCACCUAGUCAACGAUGGAUAGGGGUUCUGAGAGGAAGGUCCCCCACAUUGGAACUGAGACACGGUCCAAACUCCUACGGGAGGCAGCAGUGAGGAAUAUUGGUCAAUGGGCGAUGGCCUGAACCAGCCAAGUAGCGUGAAGGAUGACUGCCCUAUGGGUUGUAAACUUCUUUUAUAAAGGAAUAAAGUCGGGUAUGCAUACCCGUUUGCAUGUACUUUAUGAAUAAGGAUCGGCUAACUCCGUGCCAGCAGCCGCGGUAAUACGGAGGAUCCGAGCGUUAUCCGGAUUUAUUGGGUUUAAAGGGAGCGUAGAUGGAUGUUUAAGUCAGUUGUGAAAGUUUGCGGCUCAACCGUAAAAUUGCAGUUGAUACUGGAUGUCUUGAGUGCAGUUGAGGCAGGCGGAAUUCGUGGUGUAGCGGUGAAAUGCUUAGAUAUCACGAAGAACUCCGAUUGCGAAGGCAGCCUGCNUAGCUGCAACUGACNUUGAGGCU